AAAACCAAUACGAGAACAUGCACAAUAUGAAUUACAUUACCCAAAAUUUUAAAAUUUAUCUAAAAUAUGAAAAUACCACGAUAAAUUUCUCAUUAUUUAGUAUUCAUUCUAUGAGUAUUUACCGUUAAUUGUGUUUUUAAUAGUAAGAGACGGAGGUUAUAACAACCUGGCCGAAGGACACACAAUCCGCGCUGGAUGGGGCGAAACGCAUCCAGAAAACUGGAGGCCCGAGCAUGUACGAGACUGGGUGACGUUUGUAGCUGAAAAAUACACAUUUCCCGUCGAGCUUCAAGGGAGAAUACUAGACUUAGUACAGGGCUUCACUGGAGCAGAGUUACUUUCCCUGAGUCUUACGGAUUUUCGAAGCCGGUUCGGUCAGGUGGGCGAGAUCGUGUUCACAGCAUUACAACAGAUCUUGGACAUUUCACCAGAAUAUGAAGAGCGUGCGGCUGUGUACAGAGAACGGAUUAUAUCGCUACUCAACCAGAAGCAAGCAACCCCGCCUCCAAUGUGGAGAAUACUUGACGUCACGCAGUGGUCCACCGCCGAGAUUACCGAUUGGCUUAUGUGUGCCGUGAAUGAUCUUAAUAUAGAAACAGAGUCACGUGAUUUGCUCCUGGGGAAGUUGGCGUCUUGGACCGGACAUGACGUGAAUUUAUUGAGCAGAUCUGACUUUGAGACAUUAAGUCGACGUUACGGACCAUCUUUGUUUCAGCAUUUGCGCCGAUUUGCACCUUGUGGUAAAAGACGAAGAUUGUCUGAAUAAGAAAAGAGGGCAACCUGAUGAAAUCGAUCUGUUAUACACAAGUGGCUGCAACAUCAAGUGAAAUAACAUUUACUUUUUUGUGCGAAUGGCGUCAUAAUGAGCAACAAGAAAAACAAAAAAUACACUUGGGGUUAGAACUACAACUAACAAAUACAUCAAAAGUGUGCAGUACGAGUAGUAAACAACAGCUAUCGUGCAAACGAACAGCAGUAACUUUAAGUACGAUAUAUUGCACAAUCGUAUUCCUAUAAAUUUCAAAUGACGCUGAAUAACCAUUAACUUUUCAUCUUUUACAAACAUGUAUCGUUAAACAGUGAAAGGUUCAUUUAAUUGUUUUUACCAGACGUACUUGCUGCUUAAAUGCGCACAUUGCUACUGAAACAUUUACUUUACUUAAUCGUUGUUGUUGUUUGUUAAACAUUUUUAAUACUAAAUCGCAUAGCGACACAAUCCUUGCUUUCAUAGGUUCCUAAAUUUACGUGCCCUAAAUAAAUGUUGCCCUGUUGUUAAAUAAUGUAUUUUAAUUCUUAAUUUAUACAUAAAACAUUUUUUUAUGCAAGGCAGCAAGUGCACAAAUGUAUAUUAUAUACAUGUAAUUGCAAUUUGUGAACCCAUUUUUAUGCACAAAGUCGUUGUCUACAUACUUGUUCUUCUUGAUUGCUCUGGGCUUUUAUUAAAAAUACGUACAGGU